rnacentral:rRNA from 1 species
UGAGGAAUAUUGGUCAAUGGACGCAAGUCUGAACCAGCCAAGUAGCGUGCAGGAUGACGGCCCUAUGGGUUGUAAACUGCUUUUAUAUGGGGAUAAAGUGGGGAACGUGUUUCCUUUUGCAGGUACCAUAUGAAUAAGGACCGGCUAAUUCCGUGCCAGCAGCCGCGGUAAUACGGAAGGUUCGGGCGUUAUCCGGAUUUAUUGGGUUUAAAGGGAGCGUAGGCCGUUUGGUAAGCGUGUUGUGAAAUGUAGGAGCUCAACUUCUAGAUUGCAGCGCGAACUGUCAGACUUGAGUGCGCACAACGUAGGCGGAAUUCAUGGUGUAGCGGUGAAAUGCUUAGAUAUCACACAGAACUCCGAUUGCGAAGGCAGCUUACCAGGCUUUAUCUGACACUUAGGCACGACAGCGUGGGGAUCAAACAGG